ACGAAGGGGGCUAGCGUUGUUCGGAAUUACUGGGCGUAAAGGGCGCGUAGGCGGCCUGUUUAGUCAGAAGUGAAAUCCCCGGGCUCAACCUGGGAAUGGCAGUGGAUACUGGAAAGCUGGAGUGCGGUAGAGGGUAGUGGAAUUCCCGGUGUAGCAGUGAAAUGCGUAGAGAUCGGGAGGAACACCAGUGGCGAAGGCGGCUACCUGGACCAGCACUGACACUGAGGCACGAAAGCGUGGGGAGCAAACAGGA
rnacentral:rRNA from 1 species